GAUGAACGCUGGCGGCGUGCCUAAUACAUGCAAGUCGAGCGAACAGACGAGGAGCUUGCUCCUCUGACGUUAGCGGCGGACGGGUGAGUAACACGUGGAUAACCUACCUAUAAGACUGGGAUAACUUCGGGAAACCGGAGCUAAUACCGGAUAAUAUAUUGAACCGCAUGGUUCAAUAGUGAAAGACGGUUUUGCUGUCACUUAUAGAUGGAUCCGCGCCGCAUUAGCUAGUUGGUAAGGUAACGGCUUACCAAGGCAACGAUGCGUAGCCGACCUGAGAGGGUGAUCGGCCACACUGGAACUGGGACACGGUCCAGACUCCUACGGGAGGCAGCAGUAGGGAAUCUUCCGCAAUGGGCGAAAACCUGACGGAGCAACGCCGCGUGAGUGAUGAAGGUCUUCGGAUCGUAAAACUCUGUUAUGAGGGAAGAACAAAUGUGUAAGUAAAUGUGCACGUCUUGACGGUACCGAAUCAGAAAGCCACGGCUAACUACGUG
rnacentral:rRNA from 1 species